UAGUACGGCGAGUGAAGAGGGAAGAGCCCAAGAUUGAAAGCUGGCGCCUUCGGCGUCCGCAUUGUAAUCUCAAGAAGUGUUUUCCGCUUCAGACCAUGCCUAAGUCCCUUGGAAAAGGGCAUCAUAGAGGGUGAUAAUCCCGUACAUGGCAUGGAGCGCCCGAAGCUUUGUGAUACGCUCUCUAAGAGUCGAGUUGUUUGGGAAUGCAGCUCAAAAUGGGUGGUAAAUGCCAUCCAAGGCUAAAUAUUGGGGAGAGACCGAUAGCGAACAAGUACAGUGAUGGAAAGAUGAAAAGAACUUUGAAAAGAGAGUUAAACAGUACGUGAAAUUGCCAAAAGGGAAGGGUAGGAGGUCAGAGAUGCGUCGCAGGAUUCAGCCUUGCUUUUGCUUGGUGUUUUUCCUGCGUUGCAGGCCAACGUCGGUUUUGGGCACUGGAGAAGGGUAGGAGGAACGUGGCACCUCUCGGGAUGUGUUAUAGCCUCCUACUGGAUACAGCGACCGAGACCGAGGAACGCAGCGUACUCGUAAGAGCGGGCCUUUUGGCACCUUUACGCUUAGGGCGUUGGCAUAAUGGCCCUCUACCACCCGUCUUGA
rnacentral:rRNA from 1 species